GAUCGAAUAAUGGAUUGUGGUUGUCGAUCAUGAAACAAGCGUCAAAGAUGGUAUAUUUGGAGAUUAAGCUUCUACGGGCUAGAAGCUCUAACGAGCCAACUACACCCAAUGAUGUUGGGACCCAAUAACAUUGGGAGCCUCCAACCUCACCCAGUCUCCACUCCCAGUAUUUGAGACUUGGUAAAGAGACAUGUUGGUGUUCGUGGUGGUGAUUGGCAGGCAGUAAGACUUGGUAAUAUAAAGGGGUUUUUUUUAACAAAAGACUUUUUAGCCGACAUUGAUAUUUUUGUUGCCCCAGAAUGGCCAGUUUCGAAGAACCAUUCAAAAAUAAACUUCAGGUAGCAUUAUUUGUUGUUUUCUACAUUUACAUGUCUGGAUAUUUGUCAGCUUUGAAUAUUAGAUUCACUCUACUCCAGCUAUAGCAUUGCUGCUUA